rnacentral:rRNA from 1 species
CGUAGGUGGCAAGCGUUGUCUGGAAUUAUUGGGCGUAAAGCGCGCGCAGGCGGCUUCUUAAGUCCAUCUUAAAAGUGCGGGGCUUAACCCCGUGAUGGGAUGGAAACUGAGAGGCUGGAGUAUCGGAGAGGAAAGUGGAAUUCCUAGUGUAGCGGUGAAAUGCGUAGAGAUUAGGAAGAACACCGGUGGCGAAGGCGACUUUCUGGACGACAACUGACGCUGAGGCGCGAAAGCGUGGGGAGCAA